rnacentral:tRNA from 1 species
AGUAGAAUGCCUGAAUAAAGGGUUAUUUUGAUAGAAUAAAUCAUGUAAAUAUUUACUUCUGCUA